UACGAAGGGGGCUAGCGUUGCUCGGAAUUACUGGGCGUAAAGCGCACGUAGGCGGUUUCUUAAGUCGGGGGUGAAAUCCUGGAGCUCAACUCCAGAACUGCCUUCGAUACUGGGAAACUUGAGUCCGGGAGAGGUGAGUGGAACUGCGAGUGUAGAGGUGAAAUUCGUAGAUAUUCGCAAGAACACCAGUGGCGAAGGCGGCUCACUGGCCCGAUACUGACGCUGAGGUGCGAAAGCGUGGGGAGCAAACAGG
rnacentral:rRNA from 1 species